GACGAACGCUGGCGGCGUGCUUAACACAUGCAAGUCGAACGAAGAGCGAUGGAAGCUUGCUUCUAUCAAUCUUAGUGGCGAACGGGUGAGUAACGCGUAAUCAACCUGCCCUUCAGAGGGGAAAACAGGUGGAAAAGACUGCUAAUACCGCAUACGGUCUAAUCCCGGCAACGGGGGAAAAAGGAAGGGGGCCUCUACAUGUAAGCUAUCACUGGAGGGGGGGGUUGCGUCUGAUUAGCUAGUUGGAGGGGUAACGGCCCACCAAGGCGAUGAUCAGUAGCCGGUCUGAGAGGAUGAACGGCCACAUUGGGACUGAGACACGGCCCAGACUCCUACGGGAGGCAGCAGUGGGGAAUCUUCCGCAAUGGACGAAAGUCUGACGGAGCAACGCCGCGUGAGUGAUGACGGCCUUCGGGUUGUAAAGCUCUGUUAAUCGGGACGAAAGGCCUUCUUGCGAAUAGUGAGAAGGAUUGACGGUACCGGAAUAGAAAGCCACGGCUAACUACGUG
rnacentral:rRNA from 1 species